rnacentral:misc_RNA from 1 species
GGGGAGGAGUCACUUGCGACAACAUAACCGGCCAUGUGGUCAAGCUCGACCUUUCCUCGGAGUCCUGGGCCUCAGUCCAGGGAAAGGUUUCCCUUCAUCUUGGAAACCUUUCAAACUUGCAGUAUCUUGAUCUCAGUGCGAAUAAUGAAUUGGCAAUUGACAGUCUCCAUUUUGCGUCUUCUUUGAAAUACUUGAACAUGGAGGGUGUGCUCCUGGACAAGUGUGACAAUUGGUUGCAGUCAAUAAACAUGCUUCCUUUUCUACUAGAAUCAGAUUUGUCUUCUUGUGGGCUUUCCAUCACUGGUCAUGUUUCACAUGUCAAUCUUACAUCUCUUGAGGUUCUUACUCUUAGUUGGAAC